GCGAAUGGUGGAUGCCUUGACUGGUAAAGGCGAUGAAGGACGUACUAGACUGCGAUAAGCUACGGGGAGCUGUCAAGAAGCUUUGAUCCGUAGAUUUCCGAAUGGGGCAACCCAAUGUAUAGAGAUAUACAUUACCUAUAUAGGAGCGAACGAGGGGAAUUGAAACAUCUUAGUACCCUCAGGAAAAGAAAUCAAUAGAGAUUGCGUCAGUAGCGGCGAGCGAAAGCGCAAGAGGGCAAACCCAGUGCUUGCACUGGGGGUUGUAGGACUGCAAUGUGCAAGAGGUGAGUUUAGCAGAACAUUCUGGAAAGUAUAGCCAUAGAGGGUGAUAGUCCCGUAUGCGAAAAACAAACCUUAGCUAGCAGUAUCCUGAGUAGGGCGGGACACGAGAAAUCCUGUCUGAAGCCGGGUCGACCACGAUCCAACCCUAAAUACUAAUACCAGAUCGAUAGUGCACAAGUACCGUGAGGGAAAGGUGAAAAGAACUGAGGUGAUCAGAGUGAAAUAGAACCUGAAACCAUUUGCUUACAAUCAUUCAGAGCACUAUGUAGCAAUACAGUGUGAUGGACUGCCUUUUGCAUAAUGAGCCUGCGAGUUGUGGUGUCUGGCAAGGUUAAGCAAACGCGAAGCCGUAGCGAAAGCGAGUCUGAAUAGGGCGCUUAGUCAGAUGCUGCAGACCCGAAACGAAGUGAUCUAUCCAUGAGCAAGUUGAAGCUAGUGUAAGAACUAGUGGAGGACUGAACCCAUAGGCGUUGAAAAGCCCCGGGAUGACUUGUGGAUAGGGGUGAAAGGCCAAUCAAACUUCGUGAUAGCUGGUUCUCUCCGAAAUAUAUUUAGGUAUAGCGUUGUGUCGUAAUAUAAGGGGGUAGAGCACUGAAUGGGCUAGGGCAUACACCAAUGUACCAAACCCUAUCAAACUCCGAAUACCUUAUAUGUAAUCACAGCAGUCAGGCGGCGAGUGAUAAAAUCCGUCGUCAAGAGGGAAACAACCCAGACUACCAGCUAAGGUCCCUAAAUCUUACUUAAGUGGAAAACGAUGUGAAGUUACUUAAACAACCAGGAGGUUGGCUUAGAAGCAGCCAUCCUUUAAAGAAAGCGUAAUAGCUCACUGGUCUAGUGAUUUUGCGCGGAAAAUAUAACGGGGCUAAAGUAAGUACCGAAGCUGUAGACUUGACUUUGUCAAGUGGUAGGAGAGCGUUCUAUUUGCGUCGAAGGUAUACCGGUAAGGAGUGCUGGAGCGAAUAGAAGUGAGCAUGCAGGCAUGAGUAGCGAUAAUUAAUGUGAGAAUCAUUAACGCCGUAAACCCAAGGUUUCCUACGCGAUGCUCGUCAUCGUAGGGUUAGUCGGGUCCUAAGUCGAGUCCGAAAGGGGUAGACGAUGGCAAAUUGGUUAAUAUUCCAAUACCAACAUUAGUGUGCGAUGGAAGGACGCUUAGGGCUAAGGGGGCUAGCGGAUGGAAGUGCUAGUCUAAGGUCGUAGGUGCUUAUACAGGCAAAUCCGUAUAAGAAUACACCGAGAACUGAAAGGCUUUUUGAAGUCUUCGGAUGGAUAGAAGAACCCCUGAUGCCGUCGAGCCAAGAAAAGUUUCUAAGUUUAGCUAAUGUUGCCCGUACCGUAAACCGACACAGGUGGGUGGGAUGAGUAUUCUAAGGCGCGUGGAAGAACUCUCUUUAAGGAACUCUGCAAAAUAGCACCGUAUCUUCGGUAUAAGGUGUGGUUCGCUUCGUAUUAGGAUUUACUCCGAAAGCGAAGAAACUUACAACAAAGAGUCCCUCCCGACUGUUUACCAAAAACACAGCACUCUGCUAACUCGUAAGAGGAUGUAUAGGGUGUGACGCCUGCCCGGUGCUCGAAGGUUAAUUGAUGGGGUUAGCAUUAGCGAAGCUCUUGAUCGAAGCCCGAGUAAACGGCGGCCGUAACUAUAACGGUCCUAAGGUAGCGAAAUUCCUUGUCGGUUAAAUACCGACCUGCAUGAAUGGCGUAACGAGAUGGGAGCUGUCUCAAAGAGGGAUCCAGUGAAAUUGUAGUGGAGGUGAAAAUUCCUCCUACCCGCGGCAAGACGGAAAGACCCCGUGGACCUUUACUACAGCUUGACACUGCUACUUGGAUAAGAAUGUGCAGGAUAGGUGGGAGGCUUUGAGUAUAUGACGCCAGUUGUAUAUGAGCCAUUGUUGAGAUACCACUCUUUCUUAUUUGGGUAGCUAACCAGCUUGAGUUAUCCUCAAGUGGGACAAUGUCUGGUGGGUAGUUUGACUGGGGCGGUCGCCUCCCAAAUAAUAACGGAGGCUUACAAAGGUUGGCUCAGAACGGUUGGAAAUCGUUCGUAGAGUAUAAAGGUAUAAGCCAGCUUAACUGCAAGACAUACAAGUCAAGCAGAGACGAAAGUCGGUCUUAGUGAUCCGGUGGUUCUGUGUGGAAGGGCCAUCGCUCAAAGGAUAAAAGGUACCCCGGGGAUAACAGGCUGAUCUCCCCCAAGAGCUCACAUCGACGGGGAGGUUUGGCACCUCGAUGUCGGCUCAUCGCAUCCUGGGGCUGGAGCAGGUCCCAAGGGUAUGGCUGUUCGCCAUUUAAAGCGGUACGCGAGCUGGGUUCAGAACGUCGUGAGACAGUUCGGUCCCUAUCUGCCGUGGGCGUAAGAAGAUUGAAGAGAUUUGACCCUAGUACGAGAGGACCGGGUUGAACAAACCACUGGUGUAGCUGUUGUUCUGCCAAGAGCAUCGCAGCGUAGCUAAGUUUGGAAAGGAUAAACGCUGAAAGCAUCUAAGCGUGAAGCCAACUCUAAGAUGAAUCUUCUCUAAGCUCUCUAGAAGACUACUAGUUUGAUAGGCUGGGUGUGUAAUGGAUGAAAGUCCUUUAGCUGACCAGUACUAAUAGAGCGUUUGGCUUAUCUUU
rnacentral:rRNA from 1 species